GGGGCGGGUCCCCGCUGGGGCUCGCGCGGAGGCCCCGCGCCGGCGCAUGCGCCUUCCGGGCGCUCGCCGUGGCGGGUGGGGCCCUGCCCGUAACGGUCGGCGGCGCUUAGUCAGGGCGGCGCGCGAGGUGCUGCCGCGGGGCUCCGGGGAAGCCGUUAAACCGGGAGAAGGAGCCGGCCGCCCACCCUCAGACGGACAGCCUGGGGCGGGCCCCCGUGCUCCUGCGCCCUCGGCGCCUGCUGUGCCUCACGCGGUAAGCGCCGUCCCCGAAGCGGGGGUAAAGCCAGCAAGCCUGUGCUCUCUGCUAAGCCUCCAGGAACCAUACGAGAGAUGAAGAUACCAGGAAGAAUGUCCACAUCAAUGAUAGAAGACACUGGUCUAAAAUCAUGAGGCAUGCUGAUGUUAAUAUGAGGACGCCGGCGGAGGUUGUCAUUGCGAAGUGUCACCAGAGCCUUCUUCUUCCUUGACAGUGUGUUGGUACCAAAAUUACUGUAGUCCACUUCAUCUGAAAAAGAAGCAAUACCAUUGUAUCAAUCAUACAGAGAAUAAUUCAAUCUAGAGGGCAUUUUCCUCUUAAACCUGGUUUAGUGAAGUCACAUUCCUCAAAGUCUGGAGGACAUCAAAUGAAUUCUUCUGCUUAUCCUAACCCUUGUUUUAUUUUAUGCCUAUCAGCACAUCAUUGAGACUGAACAACAGUUGUUUUCAAUGAUUAUCCAUAUUGGCAGGGGGGCACCCUUUUGAUUCUCAGCUCCUGUUGUCAGUUGUGCAGAAUGCAAUUACUUGCAGCUGCAAGUCUGAUAUAGCAUCUUAUAUCUGAGACCAUGAUUUCAAAGUUGGAUUGAAAUUUUAUACAUACAUCUCAAACAAGCAAAACACAUUCUUAAUGUAAAAAUCUGAACUGGAGAGUAUUUCAAUAUCCAGUACACAGACUUAACUGAUAGCAGACCUUAGUACAAAUGUUAAGGCAGGGUGGGAAAGAGGACUUGGGUAUGUGCUUGUCCCAGAUAUCUUUUUAGGAAGAGAUUUAUGUUAAUAUGCAUCUUUCAUUACUGUACUUUUCACUUUGGAAUCUCUUCAUUAAUUUCAGCUGAAUUUGACAGCAAUAAAAAGUGCUAAAAAUAGUUUCGUGAAAAUCAGUGUCCAGGUAAAAAGAGAAGCAGGGAGGAAGAAACUGCUGUGUUGCCCAGUCCAUUUGCUAGAGAUCAGAGAACACACACUCCUACCCUUGAGGAUAAAAUCUAUAGGAAAACAGGCUUUGUGGGUUCUGGUGUUCCAGGAAUUGUUUAAAUGUUUCAGUCUCUGGCUUUUCCCUCAAGGUCAUGUGCCAGGCCAUGAACUUUAAAUCAACUAAGUAGCAUGAAAGUGUCCACUGACAAGUUAUUACAUAUAAGAGCGUUGGGUUGUGAUAUGCAGGAGUAAAUAUGUUACAAAGUUGUUAACAUAGAAAAUGUAUCACUGCAGCUUACUUUAAGAAUACAGUGCAUCAUAUUUUAAACAUGUGGCAUGCACUAGCUGGAAAAACAUUUCACCAGGAGUUUAAACAUGCUAACCUCUUCAGAUAAAAGGUAACAGACCUUCAGCUUAUUCUACUGUUAAGCACUGAAACAGAAAAGUACUAUGAGAAUUUUUUCUCUCCUAUAUUUUGAUCCUGCAUAAUAAUAUUUGAGAAAGUAAGACAAUACCUGUAUCAAACAAAAAUUAAAGUGUGUUAGUAAAAACAA